rnacentral:rRNA from 1 species
CCUACGGGUGGCUGCAGUGGGGAAUAUUGGACAAUGGGGGCAACCCUGAUCCAGCAAUGCCGCGUGAGUGAUGAAGGCCUUCGGGUUGUAAAGCUCUUUCGCCCACGACGAUGAUGACGGUAGUGGGAGAAGAAGCCCCGGCUAACUUCGUGCCAGCAGCCGCGGUAAUACGAAGGGGGCUAGCGUUGUUCGGAAUGACUGGGCGUAAAGGGCGCGUAGGCGGCGCAUCAAGUCGGGCGUGAAAGCCCCGGGCUCAACCUGGGAACUGCGUUCGAGACUGGUGUGCUAGAGUUCGGGAGAGGAGAGUGGAAUUCCCAGUGUAGAGGUGAAAUUCGUAGAUAUUGGGAAGAACACCAAUGGCGAAGGCAGCUCUCUGGACCGAUACUGACGCUGAGGCGCGAAAGCGUGGGGAGCAAACAGGCUUAGAUACCCCGGUAGUC